rnacentral:tRNA from 2 species
GCGGACGUGGUGAAAUUGGCAGACACGCAGGAUUUAGGUUCCUGUGGGGAAACCCGUGGGGGUUCAAGUCCCUCCGCCCGCACCA